GACGAACGCUGGCGGCGUGCCUAAUACAUGCAAGUAGGACGCAGUUGCGAACGGGUGAGUAACGCGUAGGUAACUACCUAUUAGAAGGGGAUAACUAUUGGAAACGAUAGCUAAUACCGCAUACUAGUAGAUGGACCUGCGUUGUAUUAGCUAGUAGGUAGGGUAAUGGCCUACCUAGGCAACGAUACAUAGCCGACCUGAGAGGGUGGUCGGCCACACUGGGACUGAGACACGGCCCAGACUCCUACGGGAGGCAGCAGUAGGGAAUCGGCGGCCAUGGGGCGAACCCUUACCGGGCAACGCCGCGAGAGUGAAGGAGGGUUUCGGAUCGUAAAGCUCUGUGGUGAAGGAAGCGGUACUUAACCAGAAAGGGACGGCUAACUACGUGCCAGCAGCCGCGGUAAUUC
rnacentral:rRNA from 1 species